CAGAACAUGGACCCUGAAGCAAGAAGAUGUCAACACAAGCCAAUUCCAAGAAUCCUGCAAAUCACGAGUCAGAACAUGGACCCUGAAGCAAGAAGAUGUCAACACAAGCCAAUUCCAAGAAUCCUGCAAAUCACGAGUCAGAACAUGAAAGAAGGCAUGGCAAUGAAUGAAGUCAGAAUUCAUAGGAAGCAUGAAGUAUGAUUCCAUGCUACAUCAGUCCAGGUUAGAAUUAGCAAAUCAGAAUGGGCAGACCUCCUGAAUACAUUAUUAUACCUGCUAUCAAAAUUCAGCAUAGCAUGCCAAAGUACACCAAAACAGAACAUGCCACAAACUAUGCCACAAACUGCCAUAACCCUUCAUUCACCAAACAACUUGCAGUAGCCCGUAACUCACAUCAUCAUACUGUGCUUCAUCUCAUGUCCAAGCUUUAAUAACAUUUCACAAAACUUGCAUCAAUUCAAUAAAAGAAAAUACAAGCAAAUAUCAACCAUACAAAUACCAUUCAAUGACUAACUUUAAUCAAGUUCAUCUAACAAAUUAACUAACAAUGAUAUUGAUAGUUUCAGCUUAACAUCCAACACUCUAACUAACAUUAGCAGACCUACAGGGUUCACGAACAUGACCCUUAGCAGAAUCACUAAUGGAUACCAAACAAUACAAACAACACCUAGCAGUUUUGAUAUCUUAGCAGCAAGUUCAUACACCGCAGGAUAACAUAAACUCAGAUUCGCAUUCAAAAACAUUUCUAGCUCAUGAAAUAGCAUCACAUAAAAAAAAACUCAUGACUAAUUUUGAUUUCAGAAAAAUCGCAUUUUUCCAAACUAAUUUUUCAUAUAACAGACUCCUAACAGAAUUUCAGUUUGAAGCUACUUUCAAAUUCAUUCCUAAACUACCCUUCCAAUCACUAUAUAAAUCAAACACCACAACUCAAUUGAGGCUCUGGAUUUUUCAAUUCACCUUCACCUUCAAACUCUCUCAACUCCCUCUCAUUUUCAGCUAAAAAACAUUCAUCCCACUCUCCAUUCAUUGGCUCGUUGAACCUCUUCAUCUCAUAACUCCCUCUCUGAGAAUCAGACCAGAAGCUUCACCUUCACUCUUCCAUCUCACACCCUCGUUAUCAUCUCACCUUCAUUGCAACAACAACACACACGGAAGAAAACGAAAAACAGAAACAGAGAAGAUGAAGGAAGGAUUUGUAACAGGGAAAGAAGAUUUUGAGAAUUCGCGUUUAC
rnacentral:lncRNA from 1 species